ensembl:miRNA
GGAGAAUUGCUUGAACCUGGGAGGUGGAGGUUGCAGUGAGCUGAGAUCACGCCACUGCACUCCAGCCUGGGCAACAGAG